rnacentral:tRNA from 1 species
GAAAGGAUCAAUAAAAACUGCUAACUCCUACCACUGGUACUAAUCUAUCAGUCCUUUCA